CCUGCUUAAAUCCUGCAGAAUACGAGUCUUAUUAACACCAAGAAGAAGCUUGAGACUGAUCUGCUCCAGGUUCAAGGUGAGGUGGAUGAUGCAGUCCAGGAGGCCAGAAAUGCAGAGGAGAAGGCCAAGAAGGCCAUCACUGAUGCUGCCAUGAUGGCUGAGGAGCUGAAGAAGGAGCAGGACACCAGUGCUCACCUGGAGAGGAUGAAGAAGAACAUGGAGGUGACUGUC